UAAUUGAUUUAUUCCAAAAAUUGAUUGAUUGUUUCAAAAACUGGUUGAUUGAUGUUUCCCAAAGUUGAUUGACUGUUUCCAAAUAUCUUCAUGCAUCGCAGGAGUCACGGCGGGGGCGGGGAAGGAACAACAGUGACUUGCCCAAACCCCGCAUCGGAAUGGAUUGGCGCGGCCGGCGGUAGGAAGCGGCCGCGUACAGGAGCAAGACGACGAGGAGGCGCGCGUCAGCCAUGGAGGAGCUGCCUGUCGAAGCGGUUGCCACGGAGGAGCAGAAGCUACAGAUCAGACGGCAGUAGUGGGUCGUCGCGCCGUCGACGAGAGGAAGCCGGGCUCCUCCCCAAUCCUCUCCUGCCGCCGAGCUCGCUGCCGGCGCUGCUCUCUCCGUCGCGCUGCCAUCUACUGCUGUUCCAGGUCCGGCGGCUCCGGCGGCAAGGUGUCCCCUCCUCGUCUACAACAACCACUACAACAGGCACGUCUUGGUUCCCCUCCCUCUCCAAUUGCAUCUUCAGGGAGAAACAGCAGCCAGGUUUGAUUUUGGACUUUGGUUUAGCUUUGAAUGAAGUGGAUGUUAAAAACUCAAUUUGUGUUACACACAUACCGUCGAUGGCGGUCGAGAGUAUGUUCGAUGGUGCUGAUUGGCCUAUGUGGUAUGGAUGAUUCAUAUUACUGCAUUGCCAAGCCCUGCAACACAUGGAUUCAUGGGCAGAGAAGGCCCAAGAACUGUUUAUUCAGUUCCAAGAAUGGAUUUCAUACAAUCUUGGAUUCGCAACCAUUAUUCUGUUCCUAAUUUUCUGGUCGCGAUCAUGCCAUUUCCAAUUUGCAAUAAGGAUUAUUCACUUUGCGAAGGUCAAUAAAAACAAGUAGCAGGUGCCGGCGGUUGAGGCAUCUUUGACUGGUACACACGAGCCAAUUUCUCCCGUUAGAGUGGACGACAGACCAGGCAAGCAGCGAUGACGCCGGACAGGCCGCUCUUGCACCACCAGCCUCCCUUCAGGGUAGUUACCCACGGGCACAUACUUCUGCCGUUUAUUCUUACUUGUGAUUCCACUCGUUGUGACCAUGGCUCGAUCCAUGUUGUGGCACAAUUAUUAUUUUUGUUUAGUCGUGAUGGAUCGUCUUGGCUUGCUUUUGGCACACCUGAUUCCACUACCUUGUGUUGUUGCUUGGGCCAAUUUCUGUGUACUGAACAUAUUUAUAUCAAUGUUGUGCUUCUGAUAUAAUAUUGCUAUAUUAUACUGGUGAUUUCCAAUGAUUACUCUGAUUUCUACUUGAGCCAGUGAGUAUUUACAAGGUCA